GCCUUCGUGGUUUAACGGUAGCACACUCGACGCGUAUUCGAGAAUUCCAGGUUCGAGUCCCGGUGAGGACA
rnacentral:tRNA from 1 species